GGGAAUAGGGCUCUGGUCUAAAGUAGUGCACUAGAUAGGGAAUAGGGCUCUGGUCUAUAGUAGUGUCCUAUAUAGGGAAUAGGGCUCUGGUCUAAAGUAGUGCACUAGAUAGGGAAUAGGGCUCUGGUCUAAAGUAGUGCACUAGAUAGGGAAUAGGGCUCUGGUCUAAAGUAGUGCACUAGAUAGGGAAUAGGGCUCUGGUCUAAAGUAGUGCACUAGAUAGGGAAUAGGGCUCUGGUCUAAAGUAGUGCACUAGAUAGGGAAUAGGGCUCUGGUCUAUAGUAGUGCACUAGAUAGGGAAUAGGGCUCUGGUCUAUAGUAGUGCACUAGAUAGGGAAUAGAGCUCUGGUCUAAAGUAGUGCACUAUAUAGGGAAUAGAGCUCUGGUCUAAAGUAGUGCACUAUAUAGGGAAUAGGGCUCUGGUCUAUAGUAGUACCACUAUAUAGGGAAUAGGGCUCUGGUCUAUAGUAGUGCACUAUAUAGGGAAUAGGGUGCCAUAUGGGAGUCACCUUACUCAGUCACAACACAGUACAAAGUUGGGUCAAAUUGAGGUGUUGAUGUUGGUCACCACUCACCUGGAGAGAGAGGUAGGACGUCGAGGGUUCUAGGAGACAGCGACGGAGAAGACACUGCAAGGACACAGUACGUCAGGUAACACACGCAGGCACACAGACUCACGGAGGCACACAGACUCACGGAGGCACACAGACUCACGCAGGCACACAGACUCACGCAGGCACACAGAGUCACGGACACACAGAGUCACGGACACACAGAGUCACGGACACACAGAGUCACAGAGUCACGGGCACACAGAGUCACGGACAUACAGAGUCACGGACACACAGACUCACGGACACACAGAGUCACGGACACACAGACUCGCGGACACACAGACUCACGGACACACAGAGUCACGGACACACAGACUCACGGACACACAGACUCACGGACACACAGAGUCACGGACACACAGACUCACGGACACACAGAGUCACGAACACACAGAGUCACAGACACAGAGUCACGGACACACAGACUCACGGACACACAGAGUCACGGACACACAGACUCACGGACACACAGACUCACGGACACACAGACUCACGCACACACACGCAGGCACACAGACUCACGGACACACAGAGUCACGGACACACAGACUCACGGACACACAGACUCACGGACACACAGAGUCACGGACACACAGACUCAUGGACACACAGAGUCACGAACACACAGAGUCACAGACACAGAGUCACGGACACACAGCCUCACGGACACACAGAGUCACGGACACACAGACUCACGGACACACAGACUCACAGACACACAGAGUCACGGACACACAGACUCACGGACACACAGACUCACAGACACACAGAGUCACGGACACACAGAGUCACAGACACAGAGUCACGGACACACAGACUCACGGACACACAGAGUCACGGACACACAGACUCACGGACACACAGACUCACAGACACACAGAGUCACGGACACACAGAGUCACGGACACACAUGUUCCUCCACUGUUGGAGCUAGAAACAAGCAUUUUGCUCCACUGUAGGAGCUAGAAACAGAUGCAUUUUGCUCCACUGUUGGAGCUAGAAACAGACGCAUUUUGCUAAACUUUGUACGCUACCAAUGAACUUUGAUUUGACUCACGGACACACACACACUCACUCAGU
ensembl:lncRNA